rnacentral:lncRNA from 1 species
AAAGAACAAAAACUUGGCUUGGCUGAAAAAUAGCAAAUAUGUAAUAAACGCACAUCUAACACAGGGCAUCCAGGAAUCUUUUCUGCCGGUUUCAGAGUCCCAACAGUCUCCUGGAAACUGUAAUGUGCCUACGAUUUACUAAAAAGCCAAGCAGGAGCUCAUUUGACAAAGCAAUAUUCAAGGUCGACAAUUCUUCUCCAGUAUACACAGCUGUUUCAAAACGUUGCUUUGGGAGGAUGCAGCGGUGAGUGAUUUCAAAUUUCACCUUUCACCCGACUCUGAUGGAAACACACCGGAUGUCCCAACUACUGGGGAGACCGAGGGAGGAAGAAGGCUUGAGCCCAUUAGCUGGAGAACAAUCUGGGAUCCUGACAACUGGCCUUGGGGCAAUGGUAACUGGGGACACAACACAAUUCUGCGCUGUGUGUAGCAGGGAAUUCUUUUCCACUCUGGUGAAGCCAGAAUUUUUGACUUCAGUGCCAAAAAGAAUGUCAGAGAAUUUGAUCAGUUUGAUGAAAUUUCAUUGAUGUCAACUCUCCAGCUGUCUGUGCCUUACCAAAAGCUGUUUGCCUCCAAGACAAUAAACAGCCCGUGUGAUCCUUUCUCUUGCUUAAGCAGGAAGUCACCACUCAACAGGAAGGAAUUUAAAACCAAUCCCACAAAAUUUCGUGUUUGGUAUAAAAUGUGAAAUAUUUGAAGUCUGGGGAUAUUGUCAUCUCAGAGGUCCCCAGUGGGAACACAUGGCUGCUUUCCGGUUCAGUGAGAGGGUCACACCUUGCCCUCGAGUCGAAUAUAAUUGCAAACAUUCCCCUCUGGGGAAUAUCUUGUAAGGAAGAUUGCCUGACUUUCUGUUAAAUCAAACCUCUCCCCUCGAUGCCUUACAAAUUCUCAGGCUUACUGUAUUUCAUCAGCCUAAAGGCAGGGUUUGACAUCAGCAAUUGUUCGAGAACAUUUGCUUUUACAGUGGAAGAAAGAAAUGAAAAGAGCAGAUCCCAGACCAGAAAAUCCAUGCCUCUCUGAGCCGUUUUCUUAGGGAAAGAGGGUGGGCUUUCUGUUGUUUGUUUGUUUGCAGGUCAGGACGAAUGCAGUAGUUGAUGCAUCGUUGUGACUAACAAAAAACAUUUUAUAUCGG